CACAUAUAAAACCACGACACGCUUAUGAUUUUUCUUUGUGUUUUCCUCCUGAAUUAUUAUUAUUGAGUUUUUGAAUGUUGAUUAAUGUUGAUUACAACGUCUUCAUUGACGUUGACGUUGCAUUGGCCAUACACGAAUUUUCAAAGUGUCUCGGCUGAUGCAGCAGAUAAAAAUCAGUGUAUAACGCGUAUCGUAUCUUCUAGACAAAAGUCAGUAAUUAGUUAAUUUUAUGAAAAUGAGGAGGAAAUCGUCCUCCUACUCAACAUGAGGUCCCUGACACGUAGCCAUUUUCAAUACUCAAUAUGCAGCCAAAUUUUCGCAAUUAUAUAGGAUCAAUAAACGGUGAUUUUACUAAAGUAUAUAAUUAUUUUGCUAUAUUCUGGCUUGGUCAUCCUAUAUUGAGCAUAAAUCAAGUCAACGACGACAUUACAUAUUAAUUCAUCUGCAGUAAUAAAUGCAAUAAUAAAGCAUUAAAGGAAUAAAGGUAUGUUUGAUAUUAUUUAAUUGCUUCAUUUUGUUUUAAGCCACAUGAGUCACAGAACUGAGUCUGAAUUGUCCGAAGAUUAAAGCCAGCUAGAUUUCAGUAAGCGAAAGUCUUCAUCGAGCGGCUGGCAGCACGAGACAUUAAAUAGUUUUGAAUCUUUCUAUCUACUUCAGACAGAACCGAACUAUGUCUAUAAUCACUACACGCUGUAUAGUCUAUAAAAUCAAUGCAUGCUAAUGCUCGUCGGUCUUUAUCAGUAAGUAACUAAAUAAAUACUGAGCAAAGCGUACAUAAUUAUAUAGCAGAUACAUUUUGAAAUCGAUGGUAUACUCGCUCUGGAGGUAAAGACUAAAGUAAAUAUUAUAGUACAGCUGGUAAAUAUAUAAUUUUUGGAAGGAUUUGUAUAGUAUGCAAAUUUCAAGUGGAAUGUAUAAAAAUACCACUCGAAGUUUCCGUCUACAAAUUUCCUUCAAAAAUGUAUUAUAUCGAGUGUGAUUGCCGGCCCAAAAUACUGGUAAAUAUACAUCCGAUUUCGUAUUAGUUGGGCUUAGUUUAUUUAGAUUAACAAGUUUAAAAUAUAGCGGUGAUAUUACUGAUAUACAGGGUGGCCAAAUAUUGAAAUCACCAAUAACAAUUUAAUUGUUAGAAUUUGAAUGCCUUAGCACUCUGUUGGUUCGCACGAGUGCAUAAAUGAUUGCCAUAAGUAAAUUGUAUGCAUAAAGAAACUAUUUAAGAAGCUGCUUUAAAUUCCCAAGAGCACUGAGAAAAUCGUGCACUUUACAAGGAGAUAGUCCUUAACUGAAUUUUAAUACAUGCACCUUGUCAAUAUUUUACGCAUCAUUACGUUCAGCUUUUUGGUAGGGCAUUCAAUUUUAACAAUACGUGAUUUCAAUAGUUUUCGGGGUUUUUUGGGACACCCUGUAUUUUGAAUAUUAUAAACUAUAUGAGAUUUGAAAAUUAUUAAUAGAAUAAAUAAAAACCCCACAAGCAUUAGCAUCUCGCCUGGGUGGUGAAAUCUUCAAAAAAAAGUUUAAUUUAAAAAAGUUAACAAAUGUAAAAAAAAGUUUAAAAAGUUCGAUAGGGUUAAGGGUUAGGGUUAGGAGUUAGUGUUAAGGGUUAGGUGCCACGAAUUUAGCAUAUUAGAGACCUUUAGCUUGACGUUUACGGCAAACGUCAAACCGCUAACGAAGUGUUUGAUAUUAUAACUUUAUAAAAUAGCAUUUGUAAAUUCUGAACGCUGAUUGGCUAAGAGCCGUGUUGAUAUAACUCCGAAGGUCACAACACGGAAACGUCGGAAAAUGCCUUUCUUUAUAUUUCUUUGUGCUAUAUUAUAAAACAAAUAUAAAAUAAUUUUUCCCUUUUGAUAUACAGUUAUAUCAACACUCGUGGAAAUUGGGAAAACUCGAAAUUGUGUGAAAACACUCCGCCCUUCGAGCAAUCUCGUUCCCAGUGUAUGCCUGUUCGCGGGUUAUGUAGUGGCAUGACCACAGAAUAAAGAUCAGUAACAGAAGGGUCAUUCAGCCGUGCAACGUGUCCUCGUUUUGUUAUGCAAAAAUAUGCAGUUUACCGGUCAAUAGACGGAGCAGUCAGCCAGUACAGCGUGUUUAUUGGCCAGAAAAUGUCAUUGACUGGCUAGGAAAAUGGCGGCCAACAUGCGUAAUGCGACAUGCGCGAGGACAGAAACUUCAAAGGUUCCGACGUAAGUGGCCAUCUAUAUGGAUCUUUAUUCUAUGGGCAUGACUCUGGGGAAAUCGAAUCUAUUUUAUCCCAAAUGAGACAAAUGGCGCAUGCGCUUUUAUUGCUCUUGCUUAUUAUAUUCCGCUUAGUAUACUAAAUUCGUGCGGGCACACGCUCACAAUCGAUAUGUUUGUUUGAACAGAUUCUCAUCAGAAUAUAGUAUACAAAAUAGUUGUUUAAACCGUUAAAGGUGUUUUAAAUCGCGUUACUAUUAAACUAUAUUCAAUGGUAAAUAUUGAAAGAGCUAUUAAAGCUGCUCUAGCGAAAAGAGGGCUUGAAUUUUCGUUAAAAGAUGAGACAUUAUAUCUCGGCCAUUCGGUAAAGUGGUGAAGAAGUUUUGGUCGUUUUGCCAAGAGGGCAUGGGCUUAUUAUUGGCUUAUUAUGGCAAAUAUUAAAAUAUUUCAGCUGAUACCUGACGUGCACGACAUGUUACUUGGUGUAACUAAUUCUAUUGUGAUAGUCAUAUACUCAUACCUCCACUAAAUGCACUGACUGAUGCAAGAUCAAGUGGUUAAACUGAAUGACCAAGGCAUUUCUGCAUGCAUGAUACAAGGCGAUUCUGUGCUACACUAUACUAUGAUGAUGGCAGUGAUAUCAAAUUACCAUUGGAUCAACUUACCAAGCAGUACGAGAACCCAACCGGUAUAAGCUGUUCUAUAUAUGCACCCAGAAAUGUGUGUCUAUGACAAGAAAUACAAGCUUUUUUCAACUGUAUACUGUAAACCUCUGAUUCUUUGAAUAUAACGCUCAUCUCAUUCCAAAUAUAAGCCCCCCCCCCCGCCCCCGAAUAUAAGCCCAGUAGCCCACUAUGUUAUUCAACAUUGAUAUUGUCUUUUAAUAUAGCAGAGAACGAUACUGAUUUAAAAACAUUGUCAUUCUCUUUAUAGCUUACUAUGUUAAUCAAAGCGUGUUAUUAAGACAUGUUUAUUUUCCUGUUUAUGACUGACUUGUUUAGUACUAACACAAAAGAUUGUCCAUGUAUAAGGCCCCCGUAUACCAGAUGAUCUUGAUACGCGGAAAAGUACUGGCACUAGUUGUCAAAUAGAAAUCCAUUUUAUGAUUAAAACAACUGAAUAUCUCCUGUAAUAUACUUUAUUUCGAUUCCAUAUUUUUGUCAGAGCUAUAGUUCUCAUAACCAAACAUAAUUACAAAAUUUCAACUAGUUUCAUAAAGAAUAACGAAAGAUAUAAUUGACUGCAUACAUCAAAAUGGAUUUCUAUUCGGACAACCCUUUAUGAGCGCUGAUUGGCUAAAAUACGAACACGAGAUCACCUGGUAUGAGCCCCCCUAUGUAUAAGCCCUUCAAAAAUCUCUUACAAAAGAAUAUAAGCCCAGAGCUUAGGGACCAUUCAUUAUUUAUGACUGGGGGUGGGCUGGCAAAAAAGGGGGUGGGUCAUGAGGUAUUUUUGACAGAAAAAGGAGGGGCACCUAAAAAUACUGGUUCAGAAGGAGGGAUCCAGUUAUUUAUUAUAGUGGUAUUAUAGUAGAGAAAAAUUUGACAUGUAACGAUUAUUGCUAGGGAGCGAGCAAGGCAGCAAAUUUAAUUCAUGUAACUGGCAUAAUUCUCAAUUUUAAUCUACAGAUAGACCCAAAAUGCAAUGCACAAAUACCCAAAAUGCAAUGCGCGCAGCUAAUAUGAAAAAUAAUCGAACAUCUACCUUUAUAACUUUGCCAUGAACUUGCCAUAAAUUUUUGUCAUAUUUCAAUUAUGUACAUUUUAGUAAAAAAGAUAAUUAACGAGUAAGCGAUGUAGCAACAUUACGUCCAUUUUUCUAAAUUUGACCAACGUGAUAUAAAGUCUUUAAUAAAUAACACUACAUUAAUUGUGUUUGUAAUUAUAAUUACUUGUGUCGAAAGUAAGAAAUGAAGUGAACAAGGCCAUAUAUAUUUGUUGAAAGUUUGUUGCAGUGGAUAUCUCCCAUUUGUUUUUCAUGCUUCACACUGUGUAUCUUUGAACAUUUAAUCAGCAACUAAUUAUAGGCAAGGAUAUAUUUACUGGCUCAUAACUCCAUAUUACCAGGUAUAUAUAACAUGCAAUACAUCAACCUUGCAAUCCCUCCUUUAACCCAUGCAGUUGCCCCCUCUCCUGCAGCAUGUUUGGGAAGGGAGAGGAAGGAAUGGAGGUACUGUAAUUUCUAUAUUUAGCCGGCCCCCGUCUCUUUUACGUCCCUCUCCAAUACCCCCCUCUUUUUGGAUGCAAAAAUAAAAAAUAAUUAAGCCCCCCCCCUUUUUUAACCAUACAGCCCCCAUUCAAUUAAUUCUUAAAAUCAUGAAUUAUUAUAAUAUUGCAUUUUUGCAGUAUUUUAAUAAAAUAUAGUACAAGGGUAACUUUUAAUGGUAACCAGACUUAUUGCCUAUAUUUAGAAACAAGUGCCCCCUCAUUGAUGCUUGGGAAAAUAUAACACCCAGGAGGCUUGAUACAGAAAUUAACUAUUUCAAUCCUACUGUAUCUCCUUUUAUAGAUAAUUGUCAAUAGAAUAAUAGUUUGGAAAUGGAAUCAAUGCUUGUAUAUUUUUAGCAAGUGAGCCUUGUAUUGAUCCACAAUGACUCUUAUUGCUUUAAACAACAUUGACAUUGUUUCAUAUAGCAACAGACAAGGAAACAUCUGUAUUUAAAUUCACCACUUCUUUUUAUCCAGACACAAAUGUUUCAUUAACUGCUACCUUGAUGCAAAAAUUAUUUCAGGUUUGGCUUAGUUAUAUAGCCUUACACAUCAUGCUGUCAAGUGGCAAUCAUUUACAAAGCAAGUCUAUAACCAAAUGAUUUACAACCUGUAGAACUUCUUCAUUACCAGAAAUAUGGGACAUUUUGCUCCCGCUUUUGUAGUCAGCGGCUAAGUCCGUUUUAUAUGCCUAACAUUGCCUAACAUAAGUAAAACGACUUCGCAUUUUACUUUAAAUCUCCAAUUCAAGUAUUAUUCAGCCAAAAAUUGUGAUUUUAAACUAUAUUUUGCAGUUUUUGCUGAGCACUUCCGGUAUUUUGACCUUUAACCCCGCAAAUUUUUAUCAAGACUAAAAAUAUCGCAAAUAUCCUAAAAAAUCCUAAAAUAUCCCUGUGUUUUUACCAUAGAUAUAGGAGAACUAGAUUGCUGACUGCAAUGUAUUCUAUAAUGCACGCCACUAUGCACGCCACGCGCCAACAUGAGCAUUCAAAAUGGCGGCUCAACCGGUCAAAAAUCAUAGAGCGAGAUAGGGAAAAACCAUGUUUUUCGCAUUUUACGCCUGCCUACUGUUUCCGAUCCCGUUGAACCACCUUUUUUGGGGAAGAACUAACUGGUGUGAAGGUUUUGGAUGAAUAUUUGUACAAUUUAAGUUGAAUAAAGACGAAAUAAUCGAUCGCUAAAUGUUUUCUGAAAAUCAUCACAUGGUCGGUUGAACAGUUCGAGACAUUUUAUUGCAGAAAUUAAAGGUUUUGGUUCUUUGGGUGCUUUUUUUCUCGAGGAUCUCGGUUGGGAUAUAUAACAGGGAAUAAUAUUGUGAAGUAUUUUGAAGUUUAAAACCUAUUUUGCUUGAUUUACCUGGUCUGUUGGUGCGAAAACUAUGAUGCUCUGUUUACAAGUGUUUUAGUGUGACUUUGAUGACCUUGCUGCUGCAGAUGUCAAGGGAUCUCAAGUCUAUAUGGCCUGGACAGUGAAAUGUGAAGAAUCAAACAGGAUUUUAAAGAGAACUAGUGACAGCAAAAGUUUUCAAUGGAAACUAUUUUGAAGAAACUGGCUAAUUUGUCUAGUAUGCAUCAAAAACCUUCACAGUAUAUCUAGUUCUCUCCAAGAAACCUGAUUGAUUCAUCAUUGAUAUAAAUAAAAAAUAGCAUAUUCUUUCAGCUAUUUCUUGGAUUGGCCUUUUAUUAAUUGCUUUCCCUUACUAACCCAGCAGUACUCUCCCCUUGACAAGUAAAAUUAUCUGGUGUUAGAGUAAAAUAAUAAAGUAGGGUGCAACUCAAUGGGUUAACCAGACCCAUGGCCAGUUAACCCAUUAAGUACCAACACUCUCCCCUAGAACAAGUAAAAUCAUCUGCCGUAAUGCUGUUAGACAAAAUAAAAUAAUAAAGUAGGGCACAUCAGGGCACAAUGCGACUUAAUGGGAGUAAGUUGUUUCUCACAGAAUACUGAAUAUUUGGUUGGCAUCCAGUCUGCCCAUUUCAUUGCUGUUAUCCAACUUUUUAGCCGGCUGGGAUUGGUUAUAGGAAAUCUAAAUAGUGUGAAGGGAAAUAUGUAUUUUUGGUUCACUGAUGUGAACAAAACUCAAUUUUUUUGACCUUCAACAGGCAAGGACCUCUAUGAAAGUUAUUGUCAUCAUGCAUAUAUAUAUACAUAUAGACUCCUAACACAGACACCAAAACAAGAAGUUCUUUUGGUCUAAUGUUUUUUUACUAAAACUGUAAACAGUUUUAUAUUGUAGGCAACAAGCUCAAAACUACAUUUGGUAUCAUUAUUGUAUUUACAAAACAAAUUGUUUUUAUGCUUUUAAAAGCUGUCUUAUUUUAAUAGUCUUGUACUAUUCUGUUUAUAUGAAGUAUGUUAUAGUGUACAAAUAUACGAUGUGUGUUUCAUAGACUUACUUAUGGAAGGACAAGCGAAUACCGUCUUUUAAAUCCCCAUGUUUGGUCUUGCAGUUACACUCAGCACACAAAACAGGCCGAGAUUCAAGGCAUUCUUUUCGAUAGAAAAACAGAUUUUUUAGAAUAGAAUGCCCUAGAAUUUUCAGUUGAAAAUACUGUAUUUUCGUCGAAAUAACAAUGAAAGAACAAAAUAAAUAAUAGUAACUUUUGGAAUAAUCAUAUAUAUGUUACAUUACUUUAGAAAAACUGGUAAAAGACUUAAGGAAUACACCGGAUAAGAAACCAGGCUGGCAGUUUCGCGCCAUUUUCGUCUUUGCCAAUUCUUGCCCGGUUGAAUUUUAAACUGUAAAUCGUACUAAUUAUAACAAAUAUACAUCCAAAACUUUCACACCAGUUAGUUCUUCCAAAAAAAAGGUGGUUCAACGGAAUCGGAAACAGUAGGACGACGUAAAAUGCAAAAAACAUGGUUUUUCCCUAUCUCGCUCUAUCAUUUUUGACCGGUUGAGCCGCCAUCUUGGAUUUUCAAAUUUGGCGCGCCUCUUCAGCCGAGUCAGCAAUCUAGUUCUCCUAUAUCUAUGGUUUUUACGUGUGAGAGCCUGGAUCUAGUCUUGCAAAAUAAACAAAAAACAUGGCUGUUCGAAACAGCUCAAAUUUGUAUUAAAACUUGUCGUUUUUGUUGCAUGCCCAUAUAUGGGCAUGCAACUUUCAUAUAGCUCUAAAUUUCGUGUCGUGUUGUGCGUUGUACCGGCGGUGGUAAAUCACGUGAUAGAUUAGUAAAAUACGGCAAAUACCGAGUUGGUCCGAGUUUUUCCGACGAGCAUUUUCAUGAUGUGAAAGUUGAAACAAUAAAUAUGCACGCUUUUGUUCACGGCUUUCGUCGAAAAUUUACGUAAUUUAGCGCCUUAGAAAAAUAGAUCGAGGUAGGUAAAGCUUUGCUGUUUUUAAUUUAGCUUAUAUUCUGUUAUUUGUUAGUAUUUUGCUGCCGUUGUGCUCGCACUGAUAUAUAUUUAUCAAUUUAUAUCGGGCAAUAUGUUUGUGAAAGGCCACGCUAUCAAAAUUCUAAUUUUUUAUAUGCUCAAAUUGAAACGAAGCCAUUGCGCUAGCACUGAUUAUAUUGUGUGUAAAACUUCAAAUUUCAAAAUUACAUCACAUUCUGUAAAUAACAUGAACUAUAACUAUUGUCUACUGAAAUUUAAUAAUACAUUAUUGAACGAAAUAUUCUACUUCGAUAAUUUCAAUCAUAGUCGAGAUCAUAGUUUAAUUAUUUGCAAUCUAUUAUAGUAAUUCACGGUUUCCACGGGUUUUUAUACUGCCAGUAAGCCACAAUAAACCUAAAUUUGUAGUAAAAUAUAAACAUUGUUUACUUCGAAUAGUCGAUCAUACCAAGGCGGUGACAAAACCUUGACCUGUUGACCUUGUUAUUACCGUCCCUUGCAACUACAGAUGAACAGUCGCGAAAAGUUUGAAAAAGUUUUGUUAUUUUGACAUAAUAGCUAUUUUUCAAUAAAUAUAUUGAUAUUAAACUUAUUGAAUCAAUAUGUUAAAGACCAUGUAAAGUCCGUAAUGUAAACAAACGCUUUGUUUACAUUUUGAACUCAGUGCUACAGUUGUAAAAUAUGAUUAGAUAUAUAUAAUACUGAAUUCUUAACACUCUUCUGGUUCGCUAGCUUGUAAAUGAAUACAGACUAGAGAUUCAAUUCAAGAAAAUUCAAAAGAUACGAAAUAUUAAUAACAUUCCAACGGUCGGGUCCCGACCAUUGGAAUGUAAGCCUGCACAGAACAUAUGCGCAGAACGGACUUUACAUGGUCUUUAAGUUUCAGGCCAGUUGUACAAAAAUUUAUAAGCGGACCAUAAAGGCGGAUUUCCACUCAGUGCAAAAUGUCGGCCGAUCAAAAUAUUUUGCGAUCACUUUCUUUUGAAAUACAACUAAUCAAACGCAACAGAUCAGGUUGACUCAACACGUUUCAAAAGAAAGUGAUUGCAAAAAGUUUGGAUCUCCCAAUAUUUUGCACUGAAUGGAAGUCGGCCUGGAUGCACUCUCCUCCGCUGAGGCUUUAGUCACAGAAUAGAUGCCAGAUCAGAAGAGAUUCUCCUAUGUGUUUUGGCUUGGGAAAACAUCCGAAAUUUUUUACGUGCUUUGACACCAUCCUGGAGUGGACACGCAGGAUGGCGUCAUAUGAUGGUGUAUUUUCACGUCAGCACUCGUAAAAUUUCGGACAAGAUAUUGUCUGAGUGACACUUCUGGUCCAGUAUCUAUUUUGUGCGUUAGUUAUCUUAUGAUUUAUUACGAUGAGAUACAUUUCACUACACGUUACAUGGCGGAUCUUGGAACACGGGCGGAGCCACUGGGCGAAGUAGCGCGGGUGGAAAGGCAAAAGCCUCUGUGGAGGAGAGGGCAUGCAACAUGUACGCACUGCGUACCUAUUUUUGGAUAUUAAGAUGGCCUAAUGGCGACAUACAAGAACCGUAAAAAGGCCAACUUUUAAACGAUUUUGGAACCGGUUUGUCGUGGAUUAACUAGCAUUGUUUUUGGAUAAAUUAACUGUUUGAACAUCGACAAUUACAUCGCGAAGUCCACAGCUUGAAUCGCCCGAAAGGAUACUACAUUAUUCGACGGAUAUCUAUCUGGUGUAUAAGCGAUUUACUAUAAAAUUACACUAUCAACUCGAUGGAAUUGCCAGUGGAAGUACGUGUAUCUCGGGAACCACCUAGACGUAAACAAAUGCUAACAAACUUUAUGUAGAAAUGUUGCUUGUUCAUGUCGUUGUUAUUAUCGAAGUCCACAGUAAUGAAAUAUUUAAACAAAGUAGGUUAAAAUUUUAUAUUUUUGUCAACUCCUAUACUGUUUAUAGUAAUUUUCGGUCGCCAUAUUAAGGCAAAGUGCGCAUGUCCAUCGCCAUCUUGUCCCAAAUUUCUGGUGAUGUAAAUUAAUUAUUCUAUGAUUUAUACAGAUCUACAAAAACACCUCGAAUCUUAAAUUUAUAGAUAACUCCUUUUACAAAAGCACAAAGAUCACGGGCUACAACUGACAUGUUGACCAUAAUUGAUGUGUAGUUAAUUAAGUGACCUCUUACUAGGCUUAGCGCAUAAUACUGUAUGUCAAGUGAACAUGAAAUGGAAGAUCUAAUGUACUGUAUUGUUUAAAGCUUUAACACAAGCAAAAGCUGUCACUCCAAAGUCCUGGCAACAAUAUAUCAAGUUAACUUACAAAACAACGACAACUUAACGUGCGAUGAUUUCAUUUAGCCAAUUCUUUCAUGCAUGGUUAUCAUGGAAUAAAUACGAAACUUGUACGCCGUCGUUUCCACGUACAAAUACGGUCAAUAUACUCAUACUGUAGAUCGGCAAAAAGUCAUUCAUAAAUACUAUGCCAUUUUGUAAGAAUAUACCCAACGUUCCAAUACUUGUUCAUACGAUUAAUAUUAUUGGCCUAUAUCUUUCGAUUUAUAUUGUUUGAUUUCGCAUUCCAAAUCUGAUAAACAUUGAUAAUUCUCUCUUCGCGUAUGUCCGCGUAAUUCUCGCAAAAAAUACGCAUUAAUGUGUCGGCAACAUUGGUAAUCGCGGCAGCCAAUCAAAUAACGAUUUCGAUUCGAUUUCCCCAGGGUCAUGCAACUACAUAUCCCGCGAACAGGCAUACUCUGGGAACGAGAUUGCCCUUCGGGCGUCGUGUUUCCACACAAUUUCUCGUUUUCCCAAUUUCCACUCGUGUUGAUAUAACUGUAUAUCAACACGGAAAAUGUUUUAUAUUUGUUAACUAUUAAUACUAUUAUAACAGCUUUUAUACCAAAGCAGUAAAUUAAGAUCUGGCAUUUGAAGUUGAAGUUUGGCGUAUAUAAAUUUUAUGCUUGAACUGCUACGAGGGUUUGUAGUCGUUUAAAGAAUGAAAUUUAUACACCAAACGUAAACUUCAAACGCUAAAUUAGUCCGUAUGUUGUAGCCUGAUAACAGACCUAUACGUUUCACCCCCCUAAAAUUCGUCGACGGAAAGGGCGAAACAUUGGUCUGAUGAAAAUGUUGUCAAAAGCGCCUUCCGCCCACUUUGGAUUUUGCAAUAAUUAACAACGAUGAUUGACACAUACAUGUAAUACCUAAAUAUACAAUGAAAGUUGUCGAUUUCACUUUAUUGCAAGUUUGUAAACUAGUAAGAGUCGAUAAGUACAGAUAUUCGAAUAAAUGUUUAAAAUAUUGGGAACCCCAUGGAGUCUGUCGCUUUUAUAUACUUAAACCUUUGUAAACAAACAGUUACAGCUAGUAAUAAUACUUUCAACAAAUUCUAUAAAUGCGAUAAAAUCUGCCUAUACGCAAAUUUGGCAAUGGCCAAUGUGGCCAUUGAUUGCAUCCCAACUCUUACAAUUUAUACAUUUUGAAAUGGCCAUACAAUGAUAAAAUCUAAAUAAAAUAUUUUGUAUGUGCUAUGUUAUCAAAAUGUGAAUCAUGAAUGCGCACAUAUUUGUAUCCGAGUUUUAUUAUGAUUUAUAAUCACAAAACGUCGGAUUGUGUAAAAAUUAUAUAUUGUAAUGUUUAUUACAACGGAAAGAUACAACGCUGAUGUAUUUGACACGUACUGCUCUACUCCCCUCUACUGGCUCUAGUUUUAAUUUUAGACGGUAGAUAUACUGAUCAUAGACUAGUUGUCGUUCGACAUCACAAAAUAUUUAGAACUAGUAUUACACUGUAUAGUGUAUGCGUAUUUAUAUGCGUUGAUUUACCGUUGAAAAUAUUCUGAUCUUUUCAUGUCAACGAUCAACCAAUCACAACCUAUUUCCCUGUGAAUUAGCCAAUCAGCUUUGUCGACCGCCAGGCGGUCGACUUACAUGCACUUUUGACAACAUUUUCAUCAGCCCUUCGUCGACCCGCGAAUUUUAGGGCGGGCGAAAUGUAGGUCUGUGAUCAGGCUAGUAUGUUGUGACCUCGAAAAGUGCCUAGAAAACGAUUUUUAUUGAUCUGAAAUAUUUUUACGCGGAAACUAACACUUUCGAACACGCUGAGUUCAAAUCCGAAAAGUUCCCAGUCUGUAGACCCGCAGUUUUCUCACAAACUGCUAUUUUAUCUUCACUAAUUUCACAGCAAAUUUUUUCACUGUUCAACGACACGGAUUGAUGACGAUACACGAUUACGUCACUCAAAAGGACCAAUUUCUAUUAACCAUUCUUCCUUUUAACAAAUGACCGGUUUUGCUCGAAUCAUUUUGAGUUAUGCAAUCUUAUCAGUGCCGUAGCCAGAAUGAUAAUAGGGAACUUUAGAUUCGCUACGGCUACGAAAUCUAGUACGACUACGAGAUUUUUUCCAUUAAAUAUCAGCUACUAAAAACUUAUAAUGGUACGUGGUUUGGCGCAACUGUUGCUAUAAAGAUGUGGUAUGCAAAAGAAAAGACGAUAGAAAGUCUGUAAUAGCAGAUAUUUAACGGAAAAAAUCUCGUAGUCGUACCAAAUUUCGUAGCCGUAGCGAAUCUAAAGUUCCCUAAUUGGAGGGGGGGAGCACAUAUUCAUAUAUUCUUGUUCACAUACCAUAAAAACAAUUGAUUUCAAAAGAAAUUAAUAAAGCAGAACACGAAUAUAUGAAUAUGUGCCCCCCAAUUAUCGCUCUGGCUACGACACUGAAUCUUAUAUGCGUGUUGGACGUAAAGUCCGGCGCACACUGGAGAUAUCAGCUGAGCUGAGCGUCACUCGUGACUGAUGGCGUAAGCAAGUUCCCCAAGUGUGCGGUGGCGUUUUGAGCGAUUUCACCCACGCGUGCCAUCGGCACCGAAUAUUCAACAUGUUGAAUAAUUUCAGUCACGAAUGAACAUUUCCCCCAAGUGUGCGCGCUCGAAAAGCUAUCACCUUUCAUUGUAGAUCGAGUAGGCAUGCGUAAUAAAACAUAAGACAAAAGGAAAAUAAUUAAUGAGGAAAGUGAUACUUGAGUAGCGACAUAUGAAUAUUCCUCAUUAAUUAUUUUCCUUUUGUCUUAUGUUUUAUUACGCAUGCCUACUCGAUCUACAAUGAAAGGUGAUAGCUUUUCGAGCGCGCACACUUGGGGGAAAUGUUCAUUUGUGACUGAAAUUAUUCAACAUGUUGAAUAUUCGGUGCCGAUGGCACGCGUGCACAGAAUAAAGAUCAGUAACAGAAGAGCCACUAAGCGGGGCAACGUGUCCGCGUUUUUUUAUGCAAAAAUAUGCAGUUUACUGGCCAGAAGGCGGAGCAGCCAGCCAGUACAGCGUGUUUAUUGGCCAGAAAAUGUCAUUGACUGGCUAGGAAAAUGGCGGCCAACAUGCUUAAUGCGACAUGUGCGAGGACAGAAACUUCAAAACUUCCGACGUAAGUGGCCCUUCUAUAUGGAUCUUUAUUCUAUGACGCGUGGCUAAAAUCGCUCAAAACGCCACCGCACACUGGGGGUACUUGCUUACGCCAACAGUCACGAGUGACGCUCAGCUGAUAGCUCCAGUAUGCGCCUGGCUGAAACAACAUAUCUUCUCUACAAUUUUGAGAAGGUACAGAUAAUUCCUCCUAAUAUCCUCAGUAGUAUCCUUACUAUUUUUUAGAAUUCAUGUGAAGGGGGUCAUUGAAUAUUUUUGUAAUGCGGAGGUUUGGGCAGGACAUUUUGUUUAGUUGUAAAUUAAAUUUUGUCAGCCCAUGCACCCCCGGUCUUAAAAAUUGAAUGGUCCCUAAAACGGUAAUCUACUGAUGUAAUGAAUCAGCAUUUAAAUUUCCAACACAGUUUCUGAGAUGUAAUUCAAGAGAUAACUUAUCAUUGCAUUUGAACUACUACAUCAGUUGGUGUUGAGUACUGUGCGGUAAGCGAAUCAGUUAUUGGAAAGAGGGCUUCCAUAUACGUUGAAAUCACCAAAUAAACAGCUCAUGCACGCAUUUCUCCACUUCAUAGUAAGUAAGUUUACAGAGCAUAUGGUGUACUUUGGGACUGAUCUUUGUCUUUGAUGUGAACAUUUAUUCUUAUAGUUUAAGGUUAUUUAAGAUUGAUCCUGCCGUAAGUGUUCUACCAGCAACCAUUCGACAAUAUUUCAUUUUAGCGCUGUCUUUGCCGUUACGUUGACUUCGUAUUACUUUUGUUUUAAAUACCUUGAUCGCGUUAAUAAAAGAGUUCUUUUUCAGGCCAGCGACAUCAAGCCGAAAGACUUCGCAUUAAUGUCCUUAUGAUUUUAUAGAGAUAUCUCUAGAACUGAGGAUUUUAGAAAGCGUUAUCUGGACUUUCUAAAAGUUGUAGACAAUAUAUGUUGUUUACGUCCAACACGCAUAAGAUUGCAUAACUCAAAAUGAUUCGAGCAAAACCGAUCUUUUGUUAAAGGAAGACUGGUUAAUAGAAAUUGUUCCUUUUGAGUGACAUAAUCGUGUAUCGACAUCGAUCCGUGUCGUUAAACAAUGAAAAAUUUGUCUUGAAAUUAGUGAAGAUAAAAUAGCAUUUUGCGAGAAAACUGCGGGUCUACGGAGUGAGAACUUUUCGGAUUUGAACUCAGCGUGCUUGAAAGUGUUAGUUCCCUCCAAAAUAUUUCAGAUCUAAGGGCCUGUUCAUAUGGGCAAAAGUUAUCCCGGUUAGCGAGAAAACUUUUCGACAAUUUUACAAGCGAGAUCUCGCCUUGGUAUGAAAAUAAUAUGAAAAGUUACACUGCGUUCAUAUGAGAAAAAAGUUUUCCCGUGUACCGAGAUCUUGCUUGUUGACCGGCGAGAUCUCGGUGACCGGGAUAAUGUUUUUCCCAUAUGAACACAACUUUCCCGCUUAGCGGGAAACUUUCUGUCGUGUCAGCAACUUUUCAAUUCAAUUGGUGUUCAGUGCCACGUCACAGCCGAAAACUUUACCCGGUAAGCGGGAUAAAGUUUCUCCAUAUGAACAGAACAAAAGUAUUUGGCUAGUCGAAAAGUUUUCUCGUUAACCGGGAUAACUUUUGCCCAUAUGAACAGGCCCUAAGACAUGCUUAAUGAAAGUGAACGAUAUCGGGUCACAACACACGGACUAAUCUUUAUUCACUGCUUUGCUGAAUACAUGACUAGAGUUAAUUUGUUUUCUUGAAUCAUUGUUAAACACUAGAAAUUACGGGAAUCAUUAAGCAUUUUGAUAAAAUACAAAACAAUAGUUACUCCGAAAAUUGAAAGCAUUUUGAAAAUUUAUUUCGAAAAUUUAUUUCGAACGUCGAAAUAAAUUUUCAGAAUGCUUUCAAUUAUCGGAGUAUCUAUUGUUUUGUAUUUUAUUGUUAAAUACCACAAGACCGUUUAAUAAUUGUUUAAUAUAUUUCAAAACUGGUGUCAAAAACCUGUUAUAAUAUAGAGUUGUAAAAUCAAACACUUCAAAAUGUUGAAAAUGCGGAUAAUAUAGCCCUGCGAAAUUUGCAAUUUUCAGUCAUUUUGUAUUACAAACGGGAAAUUGAUGCCCCAACACCCAAUUGGGCUGUCAAUUUCCAGUAAAUGUUCCUGAAAAUGACCCCGCCCUGAAACGGCAGUGCCGACAUAUCUCUAACUUCCAAAAAGGAAAAGCGACAGCCUUUCUGAAGUGCUUAUAGUGUUUAGAAGGGUUACUUUUAGGGGUGGUUAUUGGCAGGAAAAAUUUGUGUAAAUAUAAUAUUUUAGAAGAAAAUGACCAUGCAUCACCCCAGGUAAAUUGCUAAUUAUGCAUAAAAUAACUAAUAUGCCUGUUGUCGGGCAGAUAGAAGGAAAAAACUUACCAUAUCGUGGGACAAUUCCAUUUUGCCUUCAUAUUGUGCCCUGAAGACUAGUAAGUACGUUUCUGUAUGUUGGCUGCGUUAAAAUUUCUUGUGAGCUUCUGCCGACACGUUUUUCUUCGAAUGUCGUAUUAAACUCUAUUACAGUUAAAAAAUGUGAAAUUUCAAAUACAUUUCUAACACAAAUGACUUGCAUCAUUUGAAAGCUUGCAAAAAACGACAUAUAAGACAUUUAAACGGUUACCCGGGUUUUUCAAGUUCUUCUUGAGUUAUGAGCUGUUGAAUGCGUGUUUUCAGACUAGUACUCAGGAAUUUUGCAAGGCAGUGUAUUUCAUCUUCGAUAUUGUGUCCUUCGAUAUUUCGUCUAAUAUGCCGGCGAAUGCCGCCAUUUUAAUGGCUCGCCGAUUCUCUGCCCGAUAAAUGCUAGCCUGCGAGCAGGCUCUCUGGAGGAAAGAUAGCCUGCAAGGCAACCUCGUUCCCAGGCUCUUUCCUCAUGUGGAAAGAGCCUGGGAACGAGGUUGCUUGAUUCUACAUCAUAAAAUUGACUACGUGACAAAACAAAUAUCCGAAAUCUCGACUUGCGACCAUACAUAACUCGGCCAAAGAGACUGACACAAAGUAAACCCAAUACUUCAUGUCAAGAAUAGUGUGCUGCCGUCGGCACCAAUAAUUAUAUUAAAUUAAGCAUAGUUUUUCAUCCCGUGAUAAUAUUUUUUAGGAAAUAAGGAUAUCUAAUUUCUGGCAUGUGUAUUAGUUAUUUUAUGCAUAAUUAGCAAUUUACCUGGGGUGAUGCAUAGUCAUUUUCUUGUAAAAUAUUAUACUUACACAAAUUUUUCCUUCCAAUGACCACCCCUAAAAGCAACCCUUCUAAACACUAUAAGCACUUCAGAAAGGCUGUCGCUUUUGCUUUUCGGAAGUUAGAGCUAUGUCGGCACUGCCAUUUCAGGGCGGGGUCAUUUUCAGGACUUUCGUCCCGGAUUCAGGUUUUCGCACAUAUGCCAUGUUGGCCGCCAUGGUCAUUUUACCCUAAAACAGUUGAGAUUACCUGUGCUAAAUGAAGCGCAUACAAACUCAUAUACAGGUCCUAGACUAAAAGGAAAGUAAUGCUCGACUUGACCGUUUCAUAUUACUUUAAUCGUUAAAUACUUCUCCGUGAUACACAUCGGAACUUCUACUCUUACAGACAGUCUAAGAGUAUAAUAAAUAAAAUGCUUCAAGAUCUUACAGAGCGUAUAUAAAAUAUAUAAAACUGUGGUCUCGUUACAUCCUUUCAUUUGGUUUCAGUGUAGUUUCAAAAUUAUGUCAAAACCAUGGACGGCUUUACUGGCAUUCUUGGUUUUCUUUAUGAUUCUGUACAUUUUUAAUGGAUUUAUCGCAUUUAAAUCAGGUAAGAUU
rnacentral:lncRNA from 1 species